GAAAGGGGCAUAUAUUCCUUUCACCAGAGGAUGCAGCUUCUAUGAAUGCUCAACAGAAGGAGACAGAUUACUAAUAAAGAAAGCCCGGGUUGUAAUCGAGUCACCAAUCAAACCAGGAGGCAUAGUGCUGACUCUUUUGAAGAAUUUGACUUCACUAUUUGA